rnacentral:rRNA from 1 species
CGCGUACGAUGUCGACUUGGUUAUCGGAGAGUUUGAUCCUGGCUCAGGACGAACGCUGGCGGCGUGCCUAAUACAUGCAAGUCGAGCGGACAGAUGGGAGCUUGCUCCCUGAUGUUAGCGGCGGACGGGUGAGUAACACGUGGGUAACCUGCCUGUAAGACUGGGAUAACUCCGGGAAACCGGGGCUAAUACCGGAUGGUUGUUUGAACCGCAUGGUUCAAACAUAAAAGGUGGCUUCGGCUACCACUUACAGAUGGACCCGCGGCGCAUUAGCUAGUUGGUGAGGUAACGGCUCACCAAGGCAACGAUGCGUAGCCGUACCUGAGAGGGUGAUCGGCCACACCUGGGACUGAGACACGGCCCAGACUCCUACGGGAGGCAGCAGUAGGGAAUCUUCCGCAAUGGACGAAAGUCUGACGGAGCAACGCCGCGUGAGUGAUGAAGGUUUUCGGAUCGUAAAGCUCUGUUGUUAGGGAAGAACAAGUACCGUUCGAAUAGGGCGGUACCUUGACGGUACCUAACCAGAAAGCCACGGCUAACUACGUGCCAGCAGCCGCGGUAAUACGUAGGUGGCAAGCGUUGUCCGGAAUUAUUGGGCGUAAAGGGCUCGCAGGCGGUUUCUUAAGUCUGAUGUGAAAGCCCCCGGCUCAACCGGGGAGGGUCAUUGGAAACUGGGGAACUUGAGUGCAGAAGAGGAGAGUGGAAUUCCACGUGUAGCGGUGAAAUGCGUAGAGAUGUGGAGGAACACGCAGUGGCGAAGGCGACUCUCUGGUCUGUAACUGACGCUGAGGAGCGAAAGCGUGGGGAGCGAACAGGAUUAGAUACCCUGGUAGUCCACGCCGUAUAACGAUGAGUGCUAAGUGUUAGGGGGUUUCCGCCCCUUAGUGCUGCAGCUAACGCAUUAAGCACUCCGCCUG